AAGUGGAAAGUUUUAAAUUUCCAAAAGUACAAAAAUGUUGAAAACAUAUUACGCCGCUGCUAAGCGACACGAGUCUGAAGCCAAGGUAAACGUUUACCAAUGCUUCGUAUUUGACGACAUGGUGCACUUGCUGUAACAAGAGGCUGUUGCGCGUGUAUAUAUAUUUGUCAACUGCUCUCCGCUAUCCUCUGGCUAUGAAGCUAAUAUGAAAAAUGGCCUCUUCUUAUUUGGCCAACAAGCAGUAGGGUAACGAUUGCCACAGCAACUGCACAGAACGAAGAACUAAGCACAACCUGCAAUUGGGAAACACAGACGACCGACUGUGGCAUGAAAAGUUCGCUCUCUGGCUGGAGUACGAUCGAUACAUUGAUGGCAGAAGAAAAUCUCAAGCCAGCACAACAAGAGCUAGAAAACGCGGUAACAUGUCCAACAAACUUAAGGCAGAACGGUGCUCGUUUAGGUAACCCAUGAGGCUCUUGUAGGACACAGCAAUGCAACAGCACCUUCGAGGGAAACCGUGGGAAAGAAGAUCGUCUUUAUUAGAGAGCCCACCAAAGGUUGAAGGCAGGACACGACCGAGAAAGCCGAAGGAUGGAAAAGACCUAUUUUUUGAAGUGGUGAUGUUUGUGGGGUCGUUGUCGUCAAGCAAACCCUCGGGCGACGUUGUGCCCGAGCUCUGCAAUCGGCGCACAUCGC